rnacentral:rRNA from 1 species
AUCAGCUUGCUGAUUCGCUGACGAGCGGCGGACGGGUGAGUAAUGUCUGGGAAACUGCCUGAUGGAGGGGGAUAACUACUGGAAACGGUAGCUAAUACCGCAUAACGUCGCAAGACCAAAGAGGGGGACCUUCGGGCCUCUUGCCAUCGGAUGUGCCCAGAUGGGAUUAGCUAGUAGGUGAGGUAAAGGCUCACCUAGGCGACGAUCCCUAGCUGGUCUGAGAGGAUGACCAGCCACACUGGAACUGAGACACGGUCCAGACUCCUACGGGAGGCAGCAGUGGGGAAUAUUGCACAAUGGGCGCAAGCCUGAUGCAGCCAUGCCGCGUGUAUGAAGAAGGCCUUCGGGUUGUAAAGUACUUUCAGCGGGGAGGAAGGUGUUGUGGUUAAUAACCACAGCAAUUGACGUUACCCGCAGAAGAAGCACCGGCUAACUCCGUGCCAGCAGCCGCGGUAAUACGGAGGGUGCAAGCGUUAAUCGGAAUUACUGGGCGUAAAGCGCACGCAGGCGGUUUGUUAAGUCAGAUGUGAAAUCCCCGGGCUCAACCUGGGAACUGCAUUUGAAACUGGCAAGCUGGAGUCUCG